rnacentral:rRNA from 1 species
UACGUAGGGUGCGAGCGUUAAUCGGAAUUACUGGGCGUAAAGCGUGCGCAGGCUGUUUUGUAAGUCAGAUGUGAAAUCCCUGGGCUCAACCUAGGAACUGCGUUUGAAACUACAAGGCUAGAGUGUAGCAGAGGGGGGUAGAAUUCCACGUGUAGCAGUGAAAUGCGUAGAGAUGUGGAGGAAUACCAAUGGCGAAGGCAGCCCCCUGGGUUAACACUGACGCUCAUGCACGAAAGCGUGGGGAGCAAACGAGG